ACACCCUCAAGCUCUGCUUGGUGUUGGGCGUCUGCCCCGCCUUCGCGCGCGGGCUCGCCUCAAAGUCAUUGGCAGCGGUCUCGCCGGCUUCUCGCGCAGCACAUUUGCGCUUCUCGGAGCCCCGGCGGAUCGGCGUCCAGCAAGCACUUCUAUG
rnacentral:misc_RNA from 2 species